rnacentral:rRNA from 1 species
UACGUAGGGGGCAAGCGUUGUCCGGAUUUAUUGGGCGUAAAGAGCGUGUAGGCGGCCAAGCAGGUCCGCUGUGAAAAACUCGAGGCUCAACCUCGAGACGUCGGUGGAAACCGUUUGGCUAGAGUCCGGAAGAGGAGAGUGGAAUUCCCGGUGUAGCGGUGAAAUGCGCAGAUAUCGGGAAGAACACCCGUGGCGAAGGCGGCUCUCUGGGACGGUACUGACGCUGAGACGCGAAAGCGUGGGGAGCGAACAGG